AUACUUACCUGGCAAGGGAGACCCGUGAUCACCAAGGCGUUCCCAGGGGUGAGGCUCGGCCAUUGCACUCCGGCUGUGCUGACCCCUGCGAAUUUCCAAUGUGGAAAUCUCGAUUGCAUAAUUUCUGGUAGUGGGGACUGCGUUCGCGCUCUCCCCU
rnacentral:snRNA from 1 species